rnacentral:rRNA from 1 species
GACGAACGCUGGCGGCGUGCUUAACACAUGCAAGUCGAACGCUGAAGGCCUGGCUUUUGUUGGGUUGGAUGAGUGGCGAACGGGUGAGUAACACGUGAGUAACCUGCCCUCUUCUUUGGGAUAACGCCCGGAAACGGGUGCUAAUACUGGAUAUUCACUGAUCUUCGCAUGGGGGUUGGUGGAAAGGUUUGUUCUGGUGGGGGAUGGGCUCGCGGCCUAUCAGCUUGUUGGUGGGGUGAUGGCCUACCAAGGCUUUGACGGGUAGCCGGCCUGAGAGGGUGACCGGUCACAUUGGGACUGAGAUACGGCCCAGACUCCUACGGGAGGCAGCAGUGGGGAAUAUUGCACAAUGGGCGAAAGCCUGAUGCAGCGACGCCGCGUGAGGGAUGGAGGCCUUCGGGUUGUAAACCUCUUUCGCUCAUGGUCAAGCCGCAACUGUGGGUUGUGGUGAGGGCAGUGGGUAAAGAAGCGCCGGCUAACUACGUG